GUCUAUGGUCAUAAGAUUCUGAACAUGCCCAAUCUCCUUUUAUCUCUGAAACUAACCUCAGUUGGUCUAGUUAGUACUUAGAUGGGAGACCACCUGAGAAUACUAGUUAUCACAGGCU
rnacentral:rRNA from 1 species